CGUCAUUUGAUCUAGAUCUAAACAAGACUAUUGGAUCACAUAUCACAUAUUCUGAGUCUUUGUGAACAAGUUACUGAUUGACCAGAGACAUAUAACAACAAUACAUGGCUGGAUCCAGCCAUUUCUAAAAGGGGGUCCUAACGGUCCAGGAUUUAAAGGUGGUUCCAACUAUAUGUCCCCAUUCAAAUGCAAUAUUCGUAAAAAAAAAAGAGGUCCCCCUCCCCCGUGCCCCUGGAUCCGCAACUGAUGUCUCUGACUUGACUUACACUUGCAUUGGACACUCAGAGUCUGAACUGUACUUUACUGAGCCAGAGACACAUAUUCAU
rnacentral:lncRNA from 1 species